UUGAACGCUGGCGGCAUGCUUUACACAUGCACGUCGAACGGUAACAGGCCGCAAGGUGCUGACGAGUGGCGAACGGGUGAGUAAUGCAUCGGAACGUGCCCAGUCGUGGGGGAUAACUACUCGAAAGAGUAGCUAAUACCGCAUACGAUCUAUGGAUGAAAGCGGGGGACCGUAAGGCCUCGCGCGAUUGGAGCGGCCGAUGUCAGAUUAGGUAGUUGGUGGGGUAAAGGCUCACCAAGCCAACGAUCUGUAGCUGGUCUGAGAGGACAACCAGCCACACUGGGACUGAGACACGGCCCAGACUCCUACGGGAGGCAGCAGUGGGGAAUUUUGGACAAUGGGCGCAAGCCUGAUCCAGCAAUGCCGCGUGCAGGAAGAAGGCCUUCGGGUUGUAAACUGCUUUUGUACGGAACGAAACGGCUCUGGUUAAUACCCGGGGCUAAUGACGGUACCGUAAGAAUAAGCACCGGCUAACUACGUG
rnacentral:rRNA from 1 species